UACAGAGGUCUCAAGCGUUGUUCGGAUUCAUUGGGCGUAAAGGGUGCGUAGGUGGCGGGGUAAGUCAGGUGUGAAAUUUCGGAGCUUAACUCCGAAACUGCAUUUGAUACUGCCUUGCUUGAGGACUGGAGAGGAGACUGGAAUUCACGGUGUAGCAGUGAAAUGCGUAGAGAUCGUGAGGAAGACCAGUGGCGAAGGCGGGUCGUCUGGACAGUUCCUGAC
rnacentral:rRNA from 1 species